GAACAUCAACCUCAACAAUCCCAUUCACUUGACAACUCGGCACACAGAACUCUAUGAGAAUCUUGGCUAAAUACGUGUGGAAAUCGACAAACGGGACUUAUGCCAUGUUUGACAUAUACACUACUCAUCACCUCCCUGCCCUCGGGAAUAUUCUCUGUCCGGUAAUCUAUGGUCUAAUGCGUUUCCCGGCACUACCUGGAUGACCGCUCAAUAUAACGGUCCAACAAUUACAAGGGUAACUAUCACUUCUUUAUCACCUUCAGUCUUCAUUCAUUCCAAUACUCUCCUGCCUGCCCUGGGACAAACUUUUCAAUCUCACCCUACAUAUUUCACACUUCACCUUCUCGUCGAUCACCCCUUCAACCCUCUUCCACUCGACUACAUCCUCGCUCGUUGUCCUUUCUCAUUGCUGCAAUCAUCCUCCUCAUCAGAUUCUCCAGAUCACCUUUACAGAUCUGGUACAUCGAGUAACCACUGCCUUCCCUACCCCGUUCAUCGAAUCUUUAUGCAAAGUCAAGUUUGUUUAAAGAUUUGGUCCAUGCCCUCCGAAGACCUUCGAAUCGCAUAAUACCUGUGCACUCGUAAGACUCCCAGAGGCUUUCAGAUUUAUCGUGCGCAUCCUCGCGUGGAAGCUUGUCUCAAGAAAUUGCAGGAUUUCGAGGAUAAUGGAUGCGUGGGUUUGCGAUGUUUCUUUCGUCGCAGCAACAUCAUCAUUGAGCACCAAAUGCCGCGAGGAGGCAUGCUAGGAAUUGCUCGCCGGAGCAGAUGAGAAUGAGGUUUAGUACAAAUGUCAGAUAGAGAGACUCGAUGGACCGCGCCUCGGAAAAUUGGAUAGAAUGAAGUAACGACACUAGGAUACCGCUUUGAAUCAGAGAUGUGGGAGAUUUGCCAAGCAUUGGCGUCGUUGG
rnacentral:sRNA from 1 species